UACAGGGGGUGCAAACGUUGCUCGGAAUCAUUGGGCGUAAAGCGCACGUAGGCGGUUCGUUAUGUCGGAUGUGAAAGCCCUUGGCUUAACCGAGGAAGUGCAUCCGAAACUGGCGAGCUAGAGUACUAAAGAGGAUCGCGGAAUUCCCGGUGUAGAGGUGAAAAUUCGUAGAUAUCGGGAGGAACACCGGUGGCGAAGGCGGCGAUCUGGGUAGAUACUGACGCUGAGGCACGAAAGCGUGGGGAGCAAACAGGG
rnacentral:rRNA from 1 species